AAGUCGUAACAAGGUUUCCGUAGGUGAACCUGCGGAAGGAUCAUUAACGUGCCGUGGCGGCCUCAAAAACCGCUCACCGUGCCACCCGUGUCUACCUACCUGUUGCUUUGGCGGGCCUGCUCGCCGCCCGGGGACCGCUGUCUCCAGGCGUGCAGCCGCCAGAGACCACCUGAACUCUGGUUAAAGAUUGGCGUCUGAGUGAUUGAGAAAUCAGUUAAAACUUUCAACAACGGAUCUCUUGGUUCCCA
rnacentral:misc_RNA from 1 species